ACGGGGGGGGCAAGCGUUGUUCGGAAUUACUGGGCGUAAAGGGCUCGUAGGCUGCCAACUAAGUCGGAUGUGAAAUCCCCAGGCUCAACCUGGGAACUGCAUCCGAUACUGGAUGGCUUGAAUCCGGGAGAGGGAUGUGGAAUUCCAGGUGUAGCGGUGAAAUGCGUAGAUAUCUGGAGGAACACCGGUGGCGAAGGCGACAUCCUGGACCGGUAUUGACGCUGAGGCGCGAAAGCCAGGGGAGCAAACGGGA
rnacentral:rRNA from 1 species